UACGUAGGGCGCAAGCGUUGUCCGGAAUUAUUGGGCGUAAAGAGCUCGUAGGCGGUCUGUUGCGUCCGCUGUGAAAACUCGGGGCUUAACCCCGAGCCUGCAGUGGGUACGGGCAGACUAGAGGUAGGUAGGGGAGAAUGGAAUUCCCGGUGUAGCGGUGAAAUGCGCAGAUAUCGGGAGGAACACCGGUGGCGAAGGCGGUUCUCUGGGCCUUACCUGACGCUGAGGUGCGAAAGCGUGGGGAGCAAACAGG
rnacentral:rRNA from 1 species